CGUUGCUGUUUGGGAUUCGUCUUUCAAUUACCUCCAUUUCAUGCACAAGUUUAUAUUGACGAAAAGUUUCGGCUUCGCUAGAACAGGAAUUACUUUCAUCACGAAAUAGCAGGACAAAUCGAGAAGUAAAACAUUCCGUGAACUGGUAUUAAUUGUUUUGAUAUUGGUGAUUGCACCUAACUGAAGUGACGACUUCAAAUGAUCUAUUUCGG
rnacentral:lncRNA from 1 species